rnacentral:rRNA from 1 species
AUUGAACGCUGGCGGCAGGCCUAACACAUGCAAGUCGAACGAGUGGCGGACGGGUGAGUACUGUCUGGGAAACUGCCUGAUGGAGGGGGAUAACUACUGGAAACGGUAGCUAAUACCGCAUACCCUCGUAUGUGCCAAGAUGGGAGUGGAGAGUAGGUGGGGUAAAGGCUCACUGAGGCGACGAUCACUAGCUGGGCGGAGAGGAUGACCAGCCACCCUGGAACUGGGACACGGUCCAGACUCCGACGGGAGGCAGAAGUGGGGAAUAUUGCACAAGGGGCGCAAGCCUGAUGCAGCCAUGCCGCGUGUAUGAAGAAGGCCUUCGGGUUGUAAAGUACUUUCAGCGGGGAGGCGUUACCCGCAGAAGAAGCACCGGCUAACUCCGUGCCAGCAGCCGCGGUAAUUC